rnacentral:rRNA from 1 species
CAGUCGAACGAGCUAAUGGGUAACUAUUAGUGCAGUGGCGGACGGGUGCGUAACGCGUAAGAACCUACCUUUUGGAGGGGGAUAACAGCGGGAAACUGUUGCUAAUACCCCAUAAUGCUGAGGAGUUAAAGCAGCGAAAGCUGGCCAAAAGAGGGGCUUGCGUCUGAUUAGCUAGUUGGUGGGGGUAAAAGCCUCCCAAGGCCACGAUCAGUAGCUGGUCUGAGAGGAUGAUCAGCCACACUGGGACUGAGACACGGCCCAGACUCCUACGGGAGGCAGCAGUGAGGAAUUUUCCGCAAUGGGCGAAAGCCUGACGGAGCAAUGCCGCGUGAGGGAAGAAGGUCUGUGGAUUGUAAACCUCUUUUUUUAGGGAAGAAAACAAUGACGGUACCUAAAGAAUAAGCUCCGGCUAACUUCGUGCCAGCAGCCGCGGUAAUACGAAGGGAGCAAGCGUUAUCCGGAAUGAUUGGGCGUAAAGCGUCUGUAGGUGGCCUAGAAAGUCUACUGUCAAAUACCAAGGCUUAACCUUGGGCAGGCAGUAGAGUACCUUUAGGCUUGAGUGUGGUAGAGGUAGAGGGAAUCCCUAGCGUAACAGUGAAAUGUGUAGAUUUUAGGGAGAACACCAGCGGCGAAGGCGCUCUACUGGGCCAAGACUGACACUGAGAGACGAAAGCUAAGGGAGAGAAUAGGAUUAGAUACCCUAGUAUUCUUAGCUGUAAACGAUGGAAACUAAGUGCUGCCGAAUGCAGUGCUGUAGCUAACGCGUUAAGUUUCCCGCCUGGGGAGUAUGCUCGCAAGAGUGAAACUCAAGGAAUUG